UGGUGGAGUGAUUUGUCUGGUUGAUUCCGAUAACGAACGAGACUCUCAGAGUAAACUGGCUUGCUGUAGUAAUUCGCGUUACUUCCGGCCUCUUUUCUCGACAAUUCGUUUUAAACGAAAGGAAGCAGAGAGCAAUAACA
rnacentral:rRNA from 1 species